CCGCUACCCUAGGGGUUUCCUUCUUGCUGGGGCGACCUCCGAACUCAGUCGAACAAAAAUAGUCGAGUGGAGGCAGAAGACCGAGAGGACUUUCACCGAUUCAAGGAUAUAUUGGUGCCGAAGUAGAGAGAGCUCGUCACCGAGCAAGCUCUCUAUGACGCCGGCCUAAGUUUGGUUCCUCGCUUAGGUACAAUUCGGUCUGUCGGUCGUCUUUUGACUUUUUCAUCCAUCUUCGGACUUGUGCUAAUCUUUCGUUGAAAUUGCAGGUAUGUCGCCAAGAGUAAGGCUAACAGAUGUCGACAUUCGACAGUAAGCG
rnacentral:lncRNA from 1 species